UGAGAUAGCAGGACCCGGCUCCCCCCAACACAUCUGCCCACCCCCUUCCCUCAGCAAGCAGCUUCAGCGUGGGUGGGUGGGUCGCCUGGGCUGGCAGGGGCUCUGUCUGCACAGGUGGUCGCCCUGAGGCAGACAAAUGCAAGAAGCUGCCAACAUCCUCCCCUCACCAUCCCAGCACCCGGGGUUCAAAAGCUUCUGGAUUUUUCUCCCUGGGAUGGAAAAGCAGUCUUGCACCAUGCUCAGUUACACAAGAGAGGGCGAUACUGUGUGUGAAGAGCUUUGCUCCUCCCUCCAGGAGACAGGAAGGAACAGAUCAAGAAGAAGCAAGCGCCACUGCCUGGCCCCCAACAAGCCAGGACCCCAGGAACUGGAGGACCUAGGGAGGCCCUGGAGGCACAUUCACGUACCAUGUAACCAAUCCAAUGUGGAACUAGACAAAUGGCUCCAGGAGAGUGGACAAGGAGGCAGGUAUAUUCAG